AUGUUUAAGGCUGAGCAUAGUGGGGUAUCUAAUUUCCCAAACUGGGAUUAGAUACCCCACUAUGCUCAGCCUUAAACAUAGAUAACUCACAGAACAAAACUAUCUGCCAGAGAACUACUAGCAACAGCUUAAAACUCAAAGGACUUGGCGGUGCUUUACAUCCCUCUAGAGGAGCCUGUUCUAUAAUCGAUAAACCCCG
rnacentral:rRNA from 1 species